UCGUAGUUGGAUACGAAUGGGCCUCCGGGCACGCACCUCAGCAGGCUGGCGACGGCCCCCGGGGGGAACCCCCCGGGGGCUGGCUGGCGGAUUGCAAUGUCACCUCGCGCGGGGAUGAAUCCUCUGCAGACGACUGAAGUGACCAAGCGGGUCGUGUACGCGGUCAAGUAGCCUUGUUGCUACGAGUCGCUGAGCGUCACCCGACCUUGGCUAGAUUU
rnacentral:rRNA from 1 species